rnacentral:rRNA from 1 species
UACGAAGGGUGCAAGCGUUAAUCGGAAUUACUGGGCGUAAAGCGUGCGUAGGCGGUUCUCCAAGUCCGUUGUGAAAGCCCCGGGCUCAACCUGGGAAUGGCAGUGGAAACUAGGGGACUUGAAUCUGGCAGAGGGGGGUGGAAUGCCGCGUGUAGCAGUGAAAUGCGUAGAGAUGCGGCGGAACACCGAUGGCGAAGGCAGCCCCCUGGGCUGAGAUUGACGCUCAGGCACGAAAGCGUGGGGAGCAAACAGG